GGAAAGUACAGGCUUGUGUGAGAAGCCACCACGGCAGACAAUCCUGAGUAGCGGGCAGAAACCGGCUGUAAAUGUCACUCUCCCAGGGCUGACUGAGGUGGCCUCCCAGCUGGCUUCACACAGCCCUGUCACACCUUCCAUCUGUGCCCGGGGCGCUUCCUGAGACUCCCAGUUCCUCAGUGUGAAUCCCAGAUGGUUCCCAUCGCCAUCUGGAUAAAGGCUCCACUCCCCAGCUGGCCUUAAAGACCCUCACAAUCCGGCCCGACCACCCAGCACCCUCCCUCUCCUUCCCUCUACGACCUUGCGUCUCUGAAUACACUUGUUCCUCUGCC
rnacentral:lncRNA from 1 species